UACGUAGGGGGCAAGCGUUGUCCGGAUUUAUUGGGCGUAAAGAGCGUGUAGGCGGCCAGGUAGGUCAGCUGUGAAAACUCGAGGCUCAACCUCCGAGACGCCGGUUGAAACCAUCUGGCUAGAGUCCGGAAGAGGAGAGUGGAAUUCCUGGUGUAGCGGUGAAAUGCGCAGAUAUCAGGAAGAACACCCGUGGCUAAGGCGGCUCUCUAGUACGGUACUGACGCUGAGACGCGAAAGCGUGGGGAGCGAACAGG
rnacentral:rRNA from 1 species